GUGAAUAUAGGGGAGACUGAAGUCCUCUGCUUGUCCACAGAGCAGGCACUAUAUAGGUAGCUGCUCUACAAGCUUUUUUACACUGUGUCAUCAAUGUGCCUCAGCCCUCUCUCUGCGAGAAUUGUUUUAGGGGUAAUGGGACAGUUCAACCUUCAGCCACCACACUUGACAGCAAAC
ensembl:misc_RNA